rnacentral:rRNA from 1 species
GACGAACGCUGGCGGCGUGCCUAAUACAUGCAAGUCGAGCGGAAAUUUUAUUGGUGCUUGCACCUUUAAAAUUUUAGCGGCGGACGGGUGAGUAACACGUGGGUAACCUACCUUAUAGAUUGGGAUAACUCCGGGAAACCGGGGCUAAUACCGAAUAAUACUUUUUAACACAUGUUUUGAAGUUGAAAGACGGUUUCGGCUGUCACUAUAAGAUGGACCCGCGGCGCAUUAGCUAGUUGGUGAGGUAACGGCUCACCAAGGCAACGAUGCGUAGCCGACCUGAGAGGGUGAUCGGCCACACUGGGACUGAGACACGGCCCAGACUCCUACGGGAGGCAGCAGUAGGGAAUCUUCCACAAUGGACGAAAGUCUGAUGGAGCAACGCCGCGUGAGUGAAGAAGGAUUUCGGUUCGUAAAACUCUGUUGCAAGGGAAGAACAAGUAGCGUAGUAACUGGCGCUACCUUGACGGUACCUUGUUAGAAAGCCACGGCUAACUAAC